rnacentral:rRNA from 2 species
ACACAUGCAGUCGAACGGACCCUUCGGGGUUAGUGGCGGACGGGUGAGUAACACGUGGGAACGUGCCUUUUGGUUCGGAACAACUCAGGGAAACUUGAGCUAAUACCGAAUGUGCCCUUCGGGGGAAAGAUUUAUCGCCAUUAGAGCGGCCCGCGUCUGAUUAGCUUGUUGGUGAGGUAAUGGCUCACCAAGGCUACGAUCAGUAGCUGGUCUGAGAGGAUGAUCAGCCACAUUGGGACUGAGACACGGCCCAAACUCCUACGGGAGGCAGCAGUGGGGAAUCUUGCGCAAUGGGCGAAAGCCUGACGCAGCCAUGCCGCGUGAAUGAUGAAGGUCUUAGGAUUGUAAAAUUCUUUCACCGGGGACGAUAAUGACGGUACCCGGAGAAGAAGCCCCGGCUAACUUCGUGCCAGCAGCCGCGGUAAUACGAAGGGGGCUAGCGUUGCUCGGAAUUACUGGGCGUAAAGGGAGCGUAGGCGGAUAGUUCAGUCAGAGGUGAAAGCCCAGGGCUCAACCUUGGAACUGCCUUUGAUACUGGCUAUCUUGAGUUUGGGAGAGGUAUGUGGAACUCCGAGUGUAGAGGUGAAAUUCGUAGAUAUUCGGAAGAACACCAGUGGCGAAGGCGACAUACUGGCCCAAUACUGACGCUGAGGCUCGAAAGCGUGGGGAGCAAACAGGAUUAGAUACCCUGGUAGUCCACGCUGUAAACGAUGAGUGCUAGUUGUCGGCAUGCAUGCAUGUCGGUGACGCAGCUAACGCAUUAAGCACUCCGCCUGGGGAGUACGGUCGCAAGAUU